rnacentral:lncRNA from 1 species
GUGAGUUUUCUGAGAGUGUCUCACAUCUAAAACUUCUUCUCCUAUUUUUUAUUUUUGAAAGAGUCUAAAUCAAGAAGAAGGAGGUAUCUGAUCGACCAUCGAAGAAGGAUCAGCAUAGUACUAGCAUACUGUGCUGAUUUUUUGGACUAGGACUUCUGAUCGUGAUUCAUGGGCUCGUGUGGAUGACUCCUAGAGGCUGGAUAUA